AUAAUAUUUUAAUGAUCACGCCACACGCCACCUUCCCCCUUUCUACUGGCUGACGAAAAAGUAUAUAAGGCGCCCGAGAUCACGAUUCCGGCAUAACACAUUUUUUGUGCAGAUCUAUUCUUUGUUUUCACUUUAUUUCACAAACAAAAACCAACAAAUCAAAAAUGGGCGCUGAAAAAGUAACCAUGAACAUCGUCGUCGUCGGACAGGUCCAAUCUGCCAAGGCCAUCAAAUCGGUCGCCAAAGCCACCCCAGCCACCAGCCAAUUGAUGAACUGUUAAUUUAUGUAGUCCAUCCAUCACAAACUCAAAAAUGCCAUAGCCCGAACAGUACUAUUAUAUUGUAAUAAUUCAUAUGAGUAUUGACACCGCAAAAUAAAUCAGAUAUUUCCGAUGUACA